rnacentral:rRNA from 1 species
UACGUAGGGUGCGAGCGUUGUCCGGAAUUACUGGGCGUAAAGAGCUCGUAGGUGGUUUGUCGCGUUGUUCGUGAAAACUCACAGCUUAACUGUGGGCGUGCGGGCGAUACGGGCAGACUGGAGUACUGCAGGGGAGACUGGAAUUCCUGGUGUAGCGGUGGAAUGCGCAGAUAUCAGGAGGAACACCGGUGGCGAAGGCGGGGUCUCUGGGCAGUAACUGACGCUGAGACGCGAAAGCGUGGGGAGCAAACAGG